rnacentral:lncRNA from 1 species
GUGGGGUCACACACAUUAGAGGUUCCUAUCUGAUCUGAUGGCUGGUGAAGAGUCCCACUGGACUGGGACUCUUCGACCAUGAGUCUUAAUGCUCGGAGACUCUAAGUCCUACGUGUCUGGGACUCUGUGAUCAAGAAUUAGGAUUCUCUGAUCAUGAGUUUCACACAUUUUGGGUACCAGGGUCAAGAGUCCCACUGGUUUGGGACUCUUCGAUCAAGGUUUCAUAUCGAUGGACUUUGAUGCCUGAUUGCCCAUCGAAUUUGGAUUCAGUAUUUAUGAGAGAUUUAAUUCGUGAUUUGAUCACUAAUUAACUCAAUUUGAUUGAGUAAUUAUUUUUGGAUCAAGUCCAAUUGAAUUGGAUUCAGUUGGGUUUGACCCGAUUAGGUUAAGAGUUGACCUAAUCGCUGAGGUGGUUUGGUCCCUGAUCUGAUCAGGGGUUGGGCUUGGUCAAUUUCUGAUUUGAUUAAAAUUUUAUUGAGCCUAAUUAAGCAUAAUUGUGUUGGGUUUAAUUUAGCCUAACUGUGCCUAACCUAUUUUAAUAAGGUUAAUUCAAUUAGAUUUGAAACCACCUUGACUUAUCUCCCUGCGCCACCUCACCUCAUCCUGCACCCAUUUAAAUUCACAAGAAACGAGUUCUCAUGAAUUUUCUCCCAUGC